AUAAGAAUUGGAAAAGUGAGUUGCUUCUGCAGACACAAUCGGGAUUAUUAACUUAAACUGUUUUAAUAAUGCUCAAUUUAUUUAAUAUAAUAACAAUAGAUGUAAGAAUAAUAUUCGGUUCAAGACAAUAAAUCAAAUAAUAAUCGUAGUAAUUAGUACAAUGAAAUGAUCUAAACAACAAUAGUCUAACAAUAAUCUAAGCGGAUGACCCGAACACAAUAAUCGUCGAGACAACGUGUGCGACCGGUUAAAUAAGGAGCUUUGCCCAAUCAUCGAAGAGCGAUUUGCCACGGUGUCGUUAUUGGCUAGUCGUAGCUCUCCCCUAGUUGGCGGCGGAAAUGUCUAAUGGCGGUUGCGGGCGUUGGGAUGUUGCGUGCUGGUAAAGAUGAGGUUUUGCAGACUUAGCGCACGUGUCACAUCUUUGUCACGUCCAUUGUUUCUUUGCUUUCCAUUGUUUAGACACAUCUCUCUUUGUACACUGAUGGGAAUCUUUGUUUAUAUUUAUAAUAAUAUCUGAUUCUUAUAUUGGUAGGGGCUAAUGUAGGAGGUAACACUAAGCACAAGCCUGAGAAAAAUUACAUUCCCUAGAGAAGCUCCUGUGUCGUAAGAUUGUGUGUCCUUUCGGCUUGUUGAGUGCACUUCUUCAAUAGCACGGGACUGGCACCUAACGAAAGGAUGUCAAACUCAAUCUCUCACCAUUUUAAAUUAAGUAUAGUAGCAAUUUUGCAAUACAAUUUUUCUUUUCCUGACAAAAAAAUAAUAGUUGGCAGGGAUUAAAUGAAAUGUUUUUACUUUUCCGAUACAUGUUUACAUUAAAUGAUUGAAUUGUAUAUUGUCCCCUUGGUAAUAAAUCUUAUAUGAAGUAUUUGAAAAUAAAUGUUGUUUUAAGUAGAAUCAUUUCUAGAAAAAUAACUGCACUAUUUGUAAAUAUAUCAAGAAAUGAAGUAUCUAUCUGAAUAUUUUUGUAAUGUAUAAAUUAGAUGUAAUUUAUUCAAUAUUUAAUAUAUAAAUAUAUUAAGAAAAAUUAAUAAUUUUCACACAUUUACAAAAACAAUAAAUAAUCUAUUUAAGGCAAUAAUUUCAAAUAGAUUCCAUAUAAGGAUGUAACUGAAUGAUCUGUACAAACUUUGAGAAUAAGUUCAAGAGACCUAACAAGUAGAAAAUAUUCUAUGAACAUGGGAUCAUAAAUGUUUGCUUAUAUAGUUAUGACGAUUCAAAGUUUUCCUGCAAUGACUAAAGAAAUUAUUAUGUCAAAUGGAUAUAUAUAAUAAUAUAAUACUAUAAAUACUGCUAUAUGGAAAUUUUUUAAUUUAUUUAGAACAGUAACGCCAUAAAUGUAAUAGAUGGAUAGUUUCUAUAUGAAAUAGAUAUUGAAUGAAGAUAGAUGCGAAUGAAACAAUUGAAGUAUCAUAAUAGGCAAUACUUUUAGUGGAUUACAUUAUGUUGAAGAUAAGUAGAAUUAUCUGCAUGUUAUUUAUGGAAACUGCUUCUUAUUAUCUUUAAUUGGAGACAAACUGGAAUCAUUAUGUAUUACGUCAAAUUUACGAUGCGAUGUUUAGUUUGUGUUAUUAAAGAUGUAACAUUAGAACUAUUGAUAAUUAUUGCGAUGUAUUAAAGUAGAUCUCAUAUGUAUCUCGGAAAAAAUAAAAGGAGAGUAAAAGAAAUUUGUAAAACAUAAAUAUAAAAUAGAUGAGAUUUGACAUAGUGUUAUAUUUUAUUAAUGGCAGAAUUACAAAGGGAUGCAAAAUAAUCACUUAACGUCAAAUAAUAUUAGUGAAGAGAAAAAUUCGGAAUAGAAAAAUAGCGGAAGAGAAAAAUCUACGUUUUCGAAAAACAAUUAUUCCAAAAAAUAUUUUAAUUAUUAUUAUUAUCAUUAUUAUUGUCAUUAUCAUUAUCAUUACUAUUAUUACUAUUAUCAUUAUCAUUACUAUUAUUACUAUUAUUACUAUUAUUACUAUUAUCAUUAUCAUUACUAUUAUUACUAUUAUUACUAUCAUUACUAUUACUAUUAUUGUUAUUGUUAUUGUUAUUGUUAUUAUUAUUAAUAUGUAUGUAUGUAUCAUUUGCUAGUAUGUUUUAUUAGUAAUGUUUUAUAUCCUUUUUUCUAAAAAUUUUUUUACGUUUUAUUUUUUUUGUAUCUAGAACAAGUUCAGAUAUUAUAUAUAAGCAUAGUAAAAGAACAGAAAAAAACAAUUAAAAUGUAAAAUAAAGACAAGGAAAGAAAGGUUUAUUACUUGGAAACACUAAACACAAAUGAUAUAAAACUGUUUAAUGCUAAAUGUUAGAAUUAAUUGUUAUAAAUUAAAAAUUACAAUGAAAGAUUACCUUAUGUGUUUAGCAUUAAAUACUUAAUUUCAUUGUAAAUUAUGAAAUACCAUAAUGAAUGAAAAUGAUGUUUGGAUUAACUAGAGGCAAAGUUUUUUAUUAGUGUGAAGUAUUUUGAUGCUUUAUAUUUAUAGAAUAUAUUUCAUCGUUGCAAGAAGAUAGUGAUAUUAUGCACAUAUUCUAUUGAUGCAUACAUGCGCACCCUCAGCAAUUUAUAGUACUUUCUCCUAAAGGCCUUAUAUCGUUAUAGAAAAGACAAAUAAAAAAUUAACUAAUAAAUAUUGUCAUCUUUAUCCGCGCUUAGAUAUCUUUAGUCAAGCAUAGCCUUGAAUAAUGUCGAACCGGAUAAUAGAUAAACAGUGAAACUGAACUCCUAGACAAAAUUUUAAUUAAUAUCAAUGCAACUCUCAUAGGUCCAUAAGGUUACCAAGACAAAGUUCGACAUAUGAGAUUGUUUAAACAUUUCGAACGAACUAUCCCGACACGCCCACAACAAAUAAAAAUAUUGCUCGAAAGAAAUCAAAAGUUAGUAGAUUCAAACCAUUCAUACUCAACAGUAAAAAAACCGAGUUUUAUCAGCAUCACAGGCUAUGCCUCAAUCAAAAGUAUCCUGCACAAUCUAAGUUAAUAUACAACUUUUGGACUAAAACCAUCAAGACCUUCGAGUCUUGCUAAACAUUACUCCUUCAGAGAUAGCCAACAUAGAUAAUUACACAUACAAUCACACAUCUGUAUCUCUUUAUUUCAAGAUAUAUUGUAUAAUUUCAAUUCGCGAAGUAUUCUUUAUUGUACAUUACCUUCACGAGCUCCACGGAAUCCUUCAAAGAAAUUGCGUUCUCUCAUUAAUUUGCGAACGGUAUUUUAGCGAAGACCUUAAACAAUUUCUAACCCUUAUGCUGCAGCCCUUAUUCCAAUGCGUCUACAAUUCUACAAUAAUUAAGAAAAGACGGGGAACGGAUCUUCCAUGUGAAUUGAUAUCGUUGGACCAACUAAUCGUAACUAAACGCGCUCUUGUAAUUGCGUCCAUAUGACGCAACAAAUUCAGCAUCGAAAUGUGCAUUUUAUUAUAGUGACAUGAAUCAGUAAAUAAAAAUCGAAGAAGAGGAUUUUUUGUGCAAUGGCUAGAUCAAAAGUGGACUGGUAGUUCUGACUAAAACCUCCUUAAACAGGUCAUUCAUCCGCUUACAUUCCCUUAUCAUGCCUUUAUUCAUACACAUAUAUUCUUGCCACGUGUGAUGUCUCAUUCUAUUUAUUCGUAUUCUCAAAAUUUAUUCUUUUUUUAUCUCGCACAUAAGGCUGACUCAACUAUUUCACACGCAUUACAAUAGUAAUAAUAAUGUGUGAUGAAGUAGAACGUAAUACAGAGGAUAAAAUAUUUAUUCUUUUUUAUCGAAUAGUAAUGUUAACACCUACAAUUUUAAUUGGUUUAACAUGCAAUAAGAAAUAUAUUUAUGAAGCGAGGUAUGAUUGAUGCAAGAUUUGAGGAAUUUAACAAGAUAAAUUUAUAUAAAGAAAAAUAUUGGAGUUUUUCUGAAAGGUGUUAUAUUCUCCAAAGGUGUUAUGAUGUCAGGACAUUUAUGCGACAUAUUAAGAUUCGGAAAAGAGCAUGAUAGAAUAGCGAUUAUUUGAUAGAUAAUAAAAAAGGCAUCAGUCCUAAGUGGAUCCUUAAAUUAUGCAUUCCUAAUCUUUCAUGAGUAAAAUAUAAAACAUAGGGAAAAAAUAAAAGGACGAAACAAUGACGCAAUAUAUGUGAGAAUUCUAACAAUUAAAAGUGAGAGUAAUUAAAUUUCUCAAUAAUCAACUAUCAAUAAUCUUAAGAAAGCAACUUACUUUAGAACGCUAGAAAAAGAUGAUCUUUGAAGAUUUUUUAAAAUAUAAAUAAAACGGCUAAUCUUCACGGACUUUUAGACCAAUUUAAUGAGCAUUUAAAGAAAUACAAAAAACUUUUUCAUUAAAAAAUGCUUUUAACAGACAAUUAUUAUUUGGCAACAGUCGUGACUCGUCAGCGGAGUUAUGCUUUGUUUAUUACAAUCUAGCGAGUUCAAUUUUCGCUUAAAACAAAGCUAAAGAGAUUUUUAAUUUCCUUGAAGUUUUGUCAUAAGUGAACUAAACAAAUAUUAUAAAAAAAUAUAAAAACAAAAACUGUGGAA